GGUCCGGUGGUCUAAUGGUAUGACUCCUGCUAUGUAGGUAGGUGAUCUGGGUUCAACCCCCAGCUGGAUACA